CCGACAUCAGAUUUCCUGGUGUAACGAAUUUUACGUGCUUCUUGCAUUCGCAAGCUUAUCCCGGCCCCCCAGGCCGGGAUUU
rnacentral:other from 1 species